GGGUGAGCAGCUCGACGUGUCCUGACGAUAAAGAGGAUGGUCCCCACAGUGAUAGAAAAACAAGUACACACUGACAAUGACGGCUGAUUUUUGUUUGAUUUUUAUCGUUUUUUAGGUGAAUACAGAAAAGAUGAGCUGCUGGAAAGUGCACGGAGCGGCAACGAGGAGAAGCUGAUGGCUCUGCUGACGCCGCUCAACGUCAACUGUCACGCCAGCGAUGGGCGAAAGUCGACACCGUUGCACCUGGCAGCCGGAUACAACCGCGUGAAGACGGUCCAGCUGUUACUGCAGCACGGGGCUGAUGUGCACGCCAAGGAC